rnacentral:lncRNA from 1 species
GAUCAGCGCGGUCCCCAGCUUUGCUCUCUCUCCGCCAUCCUCCCAGCAUUUGCAGGCGGCUGCGCAGGAGAUAGAUGGUGGCUGCAGGCCAAAGAGGAGACACACACGGAAUCAUCCUGUCAGAACCGUCUGCCUGACAGAAGGGGCCACUCCAGAGGGUGAAGCUGAAGGACUGAUAUCUGAUGGCCAAUGGGCCUGCUGUGCCAUCUUUCUGAAUGAAGGAUUUAAGAACAUAGAUGGGUAUGUAGAACACACUGCUCAAUGCACUCAAUAAUGAUAUAAAUGGAUGAUAUUU